CGGAUGUGGAAGCGAGGACUAACGACUCGUGAAGCUGACCGGUACUAAUAGGCCAACAACUUACACCACA
rnacentral:rRNA from 1 species